GCGAGUAUGGCGGAACUGGUAGACGCGCUACCUUGAGGUGGUAGUGGACGCAAGUCCUUAGGAGUUCGAAUCUCCUUACUCGCACCA
rnacentral:tRNA from 1 species